UACAGAGGGGGCAAGCGUUGUUCGGAAUUACUGGGCGUAAAGGGCGCGUAGGCGGCCUGUUAAGUCGAACGUGAAAUCCCCGGGCUCAACCCGGGAACUGCGUCCGAUACUGGCAGGCUUGAAUCCGGGAGAGGGAUGUGGAAUUCCAGGUGUAGCGGUGAAAUGCGUAGAUAUCUGGAGGAACACCGGUGGCGAAGGCGGCAUCCUGGACCGGUAUUGACGCUGAAGCGCGAAAGCCAGGGGAGCAAACGGG
rnacentral:rRNA from 1 species